rnacentral:rRNA from 1 species
AGUGAACGCUGGCGGUAGGCCUAACACAUGCAAGUCGAACGGCAGCACAGUAAGAGCUUGCUCUUACGGGUGGCGAGUGGCGGACGGGUGAGGAAUACAUCGGAAUUUACUUUUUCGUGGGGGAUAACGUAGGGACACUUACGCUAAUACCGCAUACGACCUACGGGUGAAAUCAGGAGAUCUUCGGACAUUGCGCGAUCGAAUGAGCCGAUGUCGGAUUAGCUAGUUGGCGGGGUAAAGGCCCACCAAGGCGACGAUCCGUAGCUGGUCUGAGAGGAUGAUCAGCCACACUGGAACUGAGACACGGUCCAGACUCCUACGGGAGGCAGCAGUGGGGAAUAUUGGACAAUGGGCGCAAGCCUGAUCCAGCCAUACCGCGUGGGUGAAGAAGGCCUUCGGGUUGUAAAGCCCUUUUGUUGGGAAAGAAAAGCAGCAGGUUAAUACCCCGCUGUUCUGACGGUACCCAAAGAAUAAGCACCGGCUAACUUCGUG